rnacentral:rRNA from 1 species
GACGAACCGUGCGAACGUUGUUCGGAAUCACUGGGCUUAAAGGGCGCGUAGGCGGCUAAUCAAGUCCGGGGUGAAAGCCCCCAGCUCAACUGGGGAAGUGCCUUGGAUACUGAGUAGCUCGAGGGAGGUAGGGGUCGAGGGAACUUCUGGUGGAGCGGUGAAAUGCGUUGAUAUCAGAAGGAACGCCGGUGGCGAAAGCGCUACGACUGGAUCUCUGCUGACGCGUGAGG